GAUGAACGCUGGCGGCGUGCCUAAUACAUGCAAGUCGAGCGAAUGGAUUAAGAGCUUGCUCUUAUGAAGUUAGCGGCGGACGGGUGAGUAACACGUGGGUAACCUGCCCAUAAGACUGGGAUAACUCCGGGAAACCGGGGCUAAUACCGGAUAACAUUUUGAACCGCAUGGUUCGAAAUUGAAAGGCGGCUUCGGCUGUCACUUAUGGAUGGACCCGCGUCGCAUUAGCUAGUUGGUGAGGUAACGGCUCACCAAGGCAACGAUGCGUAGCCGACCUGAUGGGGUGAGCGGCCACACUGGGGCUGGGACACGGCCCAGACUCCUACGGGAGGCAGCAGUAGGGAAUCUUCCGCAAUGGACGAAAGUCUGACGGAGCAACGCCGCGUGAGUGAUGAAGGCUUUCGGGUCGUAAAACUCUGUUGUUAGGGAAGAACAAGUGCUAGUUGAAUAAGCUGGCACCUUGACGGUACCUAACCAGAAAGCCACGGCUAACUACGUGCCAGCAGCCGCAGUAA
rnacentral:rRNA from 1 species